rnacentral:rRNA from 1 species
GAGCUUCCCAUACGGGUUGAAGCAUGACCGUAAGGACAUGUGGACAGUAUGGGAGUGAGAAUGUUGGCAUGAGUAGCGAGAUGUGGGUGAGAAUCCCACAGGCCGUAAACCCAAGGUUUCCAGGGGAAGGUUCGUCCGCCCUGGGUUAGUCGGGACCUAAGCUGAGGCCGAAAGGCGUAGGUGAUGGACAACAGGUUGAUAUUCCUGUACUACCGAUAACCGUUUGAGAGAAGGGAUGACACAGUAGGAUAAGCUAAGCACACUGUUGGUUAUGUGUGCCCAAGCAUUGAGGCAGUCAAAGUAGGCAAAUCCGCUUUGAUAAUGCUGGGAUGUGAUGGGGAGCGAAAUUUAGUAGCGAAGUAGCUGAUUUCACACUGUCAAGAAAAGUCUCUAUCGAGGUUAAAGGUACCCGUACCGCAAACCGACACAGGUGGGUGAGGAGAGUAUCCUAAGGCCAGCGAGAGAACUGUUGUUAAGGAACUCGGCAAAAUGACCCCGUAACUUAGGGAUAAGGGGUGCCACCAUCAGGUGGCCGCAGAGAAUAGGCCCAAGCGACUGUUUACCAAAAACAUAGGUUUCUGCUAAGUCGCAAGACGAUGUAUAGGAGCUGACGCCUGCCCGGUGCUGGAAGGUUAAGGGGAUCUGUUAGAGCAAUCGAAGCAGUGAACUUAAGCCCCAGUAAACGGCGGCCGUAACUAUAACGGUCCUAAGGUAGCGAAAUUCCUUGUCGGGUAAGUUCCGACCCGCACGAAAGGCGUAACGAUUUGGGCACUGUCUCAACAACAGACUCGGUGAAAUUGUAAUUCCGGUGAAGAUGCCGGAUACCUGCGACAGGACGGAAAGACCCCAUGGAGCUUUACUGUAGCUUGACAUUGGGUCUUGGUACUACAUGUACAGGAUAGGUGGGAGGCUUUGAAACCAGGACGCCAGUUUUGGCGGAGCCAUCCUUGGGAUACCACCCUUGUAGUACUGGGACUCUAACCAUAGGCCAUGAAUCUGGUCUUGGGACACUGUCAGGUGGGCAGUUUGACUGGGGCGGUCGCCUCCCAAAAGGUAACGGAGGCGCUCAAAGGUUCUCUCAGUACGGUCGGAAAUCGUACGUAGAGUGUAAAGGCAAAAGAGAGCUUGAUUGCAAGACAUACAGGUCGAGCAAGGAUGAAAAUCGGACUUAGUGAUCCGGUGGUUCUGCGUGGAAGGGCCAUCGCUCAACGGAUAAAAGCUACCCUGGGGAUAACAGGCUUAUCUCCCCCAAGAGUCCACAUCGACGGGGAGGUUUGGCACCUCGAUGUCGGCUCAUCACAUCCUGGGGCUGUAGUAGGUCCCAAGGGUUGGGCUGUUCGCCCAUUAAAGUGGUACGCGAGCUGGGUUCAGAACGUCGUGAGACAGUUCGGUCCCUAUCCGUCGCAGGCGUAGGAAAUUUGAGAAGACCUGUCCUUAGUACGAGAGGACCGGGAUGGACGUACCUCUGGUGUACCAGUUGUCCUGCCAAGGGCAUGGCUGGGUAGCUAUGUACGGAAUGGAUAAGCGCUGAAAGCAUCUAAGCGCGAAGCCAACUUCAAGAUAAGAUUUCCCACCGCAAGGGUAAGACCCCAGAAAGACUAUCUGGUUGAUAGGUCGAAGGUGUAAGUGCAGCAAUGUAUUUAGCUUAUCGAUACUAAUAGGUCGAGGACUUGACC